UACGGGGGGGCAAGCGUUGUUCGGAAUUACUGGGCGUAAAGGGCUCGAUAGGCGGCCAACUAAGUCAGACGUGAAAUCCCUCGGCUUAACCGGGGAACUGCAUCUGAUACUGGAUGGCUUGAGUUCGGGAGAGGGAUGCGGAAUUCCAGGUGUAGCGGUGAAAUGCGUAGAUAUCUGGAGGAACACCGGUGGCGAAGGCGAGCUCGUCGUGGACCGGUACUAGGAC
rnacentral:rRNA from 1 species